rnacentral:rRNA from 1 species
UACAGAGGGUGCAAACGUUGCUCGGAAUUACUGGGCGUAAAGGGCGUGUAGGUGGUUUCGUAAGUCUGGCGUGAAAUUUCUCGGCUUAACCGAGGCAGGUCGUCGGAUACUGCGAGGCUAGAGGACGGUAGAGGCGUGUGGAAUUCCGGGUGUAGUGGUGAAAUGCGUAGAGAUCCGGAGGAACACCAGUGGCGAAGGCGACACGCUGGGCCGUACCUGACACUGAUGCGCGACAGCAUGGGGAGCAAACAGG